rnacentral:rRNA from 1 species
AGUGGGGGACAACGUUCCGAAAGGAGCGCUAAUACCGCAUACGUCCUACGGGAGAAAGUGGGGGAUCUUCGGACCUCACGCUAUCAGAUGAGCCUAGGUCGGAUUAUCUAGUAGGUGGGGUAAUGGCUCACCUAGGCGACGAUCCGUAACUGGUCUGAGAGGAUGAUCAGUCACACUGGAACUGAGACACGGUCCAGACUCCUACGGGAGGCAGCAGUGGGGAAUAUUGGACAAUGGGCGAAAGCCUGAUCCAGCCAUGCCGCGUGUGUGAAGAAGGUCUUCGGAUUGUAAAGCACUUUAAGUUGGGAGGAAGGGCAGUAAGUUAAUACCUUGCUGUUUUGACGUUACCAACAGAAUAAGCACCGGCUAACUUCGUGC